rnacentral:rRNA from 1 species
UACGUAGGGGGCAAGCGUUGUCCGGAUUUAUUGGGCGUAAAGAGCGUGUAGGCGGCCAUACAGGUCCGUUGUGAAAACUGGAGGCUUAACCUCCAGACGUCGAUGGAAACCGUAUGGCUAGAGUCCGGAAGAGGAGAGUGGAAUUCCUGGUGUAGCGGUGAAAUGCGCAGAUAUCAAGAGGAACACCUGAGGUGAAGACGGGUUGCUGGGCUGACACUGACGCUGAGGCGCGAAAGCCAGGGGAGCAAACGGG